rnacentral:rRNA from 1 species
UACGUAGGGUGCAAGCGUUGUCCGGAAUUAUUGGGCGUAAAGAGCUCGUAGGCGGUUUGUCGCGUCUGCUGUGAAAACUCGGGGCUUAACUCCGGGCCUGCAGUGGGUACGGGCAGACUAGAGUGCGGUAGGGGAGACUGGAAUUCCUGGUGUAGCGGUGAAAUGCGCAGAGUAUCAGGAGGAACACCGGUGGCGAAGGCGGGUCUCUGGGCCGUAACUGACGCUGAGGAGCGAAAGCGUGGGGAGCGAACAGG